GGCAAAGAUGACAUCACUAGCAGACAAAAACCACGUCCGUCAAGCACCAACCUUUAAAAUAUGUAUCAUUACAAUAUAUUAUAAUAAACAAAUCGCUAUGUUAAAGAAAAUAAAGAUGAACACUUCCCAACUUCAUACGAAUCAACCCCAUUUCAACAAACUACAGGUAUUACAUCAUUUUCUACAAAAUGGCAAGGGUGAUGUUAACGAUGUGCUAUGACAAAACAGGAGGUAAAAAUAGAAAGACAAUAUGCAAUGGGCCAAUGAUUAAACAAAAAUUGAAGGCAUUAGAAAGAGCGCCAGAGAGAGGCAAAGGAAUUAAACCGCCAACACAAACAAAUCAAUGGUACAGAUAUAUACUGAAUGGGCAUUGUUGGUUUCUUCUCCACGAACAAGCGGCAUGAACAUUCUCCAAAGAAAAUUCAACAUAAAUGACCAAACAUAAUCGAGACCAAAUUUGCCAAGCUGUCUAGACUGGAGCAAGCAAAACUUUCCUUUACCUAGACCUCAGCCAAAUGGAGAAGGAACAGGCCCUGGCCCUGCAAGCGCAUCUGAUCUUUUAAUACUGCCCAUACCACAGAUAAUACAUCCAGGUGUUGAGAGGGCAGAAAAUUUGGCCCCACAAAGAUCACAAACAUCAUAUCCGAUGGUCGACAAACGGCUGAGUGUCGCACCACAGAACUGAGAAGGGUCCUCCAAAGGAUCAAUUGACUUGUUGGUUGAACCCCUCUGAACACACAUGUCAAUCAGGCUUCUCAACUCAUCCUGCUUGCUAGGUGGAGCUUUGGACAGGAGGAGCUCAAGCAUCUGCUUGGAAUAAGCAAAAUUCUGCACCUCCAUGUUUCGUUUAAUGGCUGUUCGGAUGCAAUUUAUUCGGUGCUUUGCCAGAAGAGGCAAAGAACCUAGAUGUCGUGAUAGUCUCGCCAUCUCAUCUUUUGCGCUCAGUGCACUUGGACCUUGUACUUUCUGUAGCCUUGCAAUUUCCUGAAGCAGAGUAACUGCUAUCUUGUACUGAGCACAGAUGGUUGCUUGGGCUUUAAUAUCAGCUCCACGAGAGCUAUCCUUUGCCAAUGCCAGGAAUGCUUCAUCAAAACAUGAUAAUGCAUCAGGAAGUUGAUUCUGCUCAAGGUGAGCAAGUCCAAUUUUGAAACAUACAGAAGCAGCCGCUCCUCUGGGAACCUGUCCAGGUCUCACAGAUGAUGGUGGAGCAGCAGCUUGCACAGGAGGUUUUCCUGAAUCUGCAGAAUUUGGAACUCCUAGGACACUGAGAUCAAGAGGUUGAGAUGAAAGAGGGGCCCGAAGGGCCUGAGGGGCCUGCACAUGUGGCUGAGAUGAGAGAGCAGCCUGACUGGAGGCUUGUGGUGGGACACCACCAUCAGGAAGUCCAAUGGAUUCAAGUGAGACAGCUUGCUGAGUGGCUUGUGGGGAAACACCACCAUCUGAAAGACCAAUGUCAGCCACAGAAGGACCAACUGGAUUAGGCAUUACCUUGUCACUUUCAACUUGCUGAGAAGUUUGAUCCAGUUUUGCAAGAUAUGUUCCAGGAGGAGGCAAUGAUGCUGCAACUUGGAGGGAAGGAAUAGUAUUUUGGAAAAAGUCCUCUGGAAUAGGGCCAGCUGUAACACCCAUACCCGCCAUCAUAGGAGCUGGUUGUGAUACUGGUGCUGAUUGUGUUAAUGUGUCAGUACCAAAUAAAUCAGCAGCAGGUGAAGGAACUGUGGAAGCAGCAGGGGCACUUGCACUGGUAGGAGGGGGUUGGGAUAAAAUCUGACCAAGGUCCUGGGAACCAGUUAAUGACUUUGUCCGCAUGGGUGGACCUAACCCUUCACCAAGUUUAAAUAUCUUUGUUGCUUCUUUGAUCUUAUUGACAUCUACUGUAGCAGAAGUAAGCGGUUUGUCUCGUAUUCUAAUUUGUAGUUUUCUGGCUUUCGAAGGUUCUUCCUCAUCACUGCUGCUACCAUCAGUAGCUGCACCAUACAUAGUUUUUUUGAAUUCUUCUUGUGCUUUAGCCUGUUCAUCAGCUGCAGAUGAACUUGCAUUUUGUUUAAUAAGUGUUUCAAGACCCAUCAAGGAAUCAGCCUUUACGUUACCAUCAGGCAAUCCCUUUGACUCAUUAGACAUGGAUUUAGACAACGAGUUUGGAAGUCCAUUUGGCUGAUUGUCACCCACAGACUUAAAAGCUUUGACCAAACUAUCCUCCCUUACUUCAACAACGUUGCCUCUUCCUUUAAUUGAUCCCAGGUACACACCAAUAUGAUCUGUAAUAAUGGCAGGGAUGGUGCCAUCGUCAGUCUUCAUGUAAGGCAUUACUUCUGCAGCCAGUUCCCACUGAGGUAUACUUUUCAAACUAGUAGGCGUUUUAAUUUCCCAGUUCCCACCACCCCAUUCAUUUCCUUUUGGAACCAUGCUCUCAGCUGCAAAGUUGGCAAAAAUGCCUUGCGUCCACCCAGUAGAACGAACCCUUAAAAUCCUUUCACAAUAUCUCCUUAACUCUGGAUCUGCACCUUCUUCUUCCAAUCUCUGAGCAAGGCGUCUCAUGGCACUAGGGUUAAGGUGGCAUAUGAACAAAUCAAGCAUGCUUUCAUGAUCUGCUAUAACUUCAAAAGUUUCCUUUGCACUAUCAAACUGGCCAUACUUGAUACAGGCAUAUCCCAACUGUCGAAACCGGUGGAACAACUGAGAUGUUGGAGGACAUUUUGGAUAAUCUCGAGAUCGCAAGAAUUCAUCCUUCAAUACAGAUAAAGCAGUAGAAAAACGAAGAGCUUUGAUAGCAUAGGUGCCUCGCAACACCUGGGUGAACUGUGGACCUGCUUGGGACAAUGAAACUGCAAGAUCUCCACAAACAGGAGGACCUCUAGCAAGAAUAUCAAGAGAUCUUGGAGUGAUGCGCAAACUAUCAAACCUUGAUGUUAUUUGAUAAAGUGUUUCUGAGAGGUCAAGCUUCUGCUCAAAUGUUUGUUGCAUUGUGGCAAAUCCAAUGAGAAGAGGUUCAAGGAGUCCAACAAGGCAACUCCUAAUCUCCAACCCCUUUUUCUGUCUCGGAUUUAUAUCCGUUGGGUUAGCAAGCAGCAAUCGAUCAUUCAAAGCACCAAUUAAAACUGAAUAGGGCAUGCUAAUAGAAAGAAUGGUCCUCACUUUUCCAUCCCAGCCAAGCACACUGACUGAAGUGGCAGUAGAAAAAAGAAGAGCUGGUCCAAGCCAUAAAAGGGAUCUAAAUGAAGGAAGUCCUUUAUCAAAUUUCAUAGAACUGCUUGCCAGUAUAUCAAGAUCAGCUGAAACUAUAAGAACCCUUUGAGUUGUUAAUACUCCUGCUACAUAGCCCCUAGGGGUUUCCUGCCAGUGCACCUGGAGUACAAUCUCAUUCAUUUUUAACUUGAUUGACUUUUUUCCUUCAGUUUUAGUUGGUAUGUAAUGACCAUCUGAAGUUGAAAGGCGAUAUCCCUGAACCAACUUUGCAAAACCAAUCUGAUUCCCAUUAAUAGCAAACAUCAAAGUUGACUCUAAUGGAGUGGAAAAGAUACGAUCAACUUCAUUUUCAAACAUAAACUGCAUGGGACCCCGAAGAGAACCAGCAUUUGUUUCCACUGACUGAUUUUCUUCAAGUAAUAAAUUUUUUUCACCAGCUUCUUUUGAAGCUCCUCCAGGCAGAAUGUACAGAGCCAGCCCAGUCUUGUCUUCAUCAAGAAUUGCAAACUGAUUUUCAUUGGGACCAAUGAAUACUGCAUCUCGACCUUUAACUGUGUUCCCUUUACUGUUGGCUGGCUGAGAAUCAGUAUUUUCCCAAUAAAGGACCACUUCAUUUGUAGAACCACUGAAUUCAUAAACGACAAGAAAUAGAUGCUGCUUUUUACUGUGAACAAUGAGCUUUGGAUGAAAUUCAACAUUUCCAGGAAUCGAAGUAUAAAGUUUCUUGUAAAUAUUAUCCACUCCAGAGCAGAGAUUAUAUCCCAUGAGGUUCAUUCCAUCAACAUAGAAAGCCCUAACAGGAUAAUGAAGUACUCGGUUCUCUUUAUUAAAGAAAUUUAGCUCCAAAUGAAAAGGCAGGAAAGCAGGAAUAUCCUUCAGAUGAUGCUUGGUAUCCGAAAUAGUGAUGAGAGGCAGCCGAGAUAUUGGAGCAUUUUUGGCAUGGCCUUCCAUAAAAUGACUGUAAAGGAAUGCCUUCCUUGCUAUGUCUGAAAUUGUAAGUUGACUUUGACCACUGAAAGGACAAUAAUUUCCAUAAAAAUGCAUGAGAUAGGAAGAAAAAAAAAAUAAGGAUGAGAUACUAGCCCAAUUACAAAUGUAAAAUACUUAUCAUGCAAGGCCAUUGCACAAUUGCGAGCUCCAAAGGAGCUGUUAAAAUUCCAACACUCAAACAAAUUAUCACUCUCAAGUCACAUUAAUCACACAACUACUCUUAACGCAUCGAAGGUCCCUCCUCUGCCUCUCCUACCCCUAAGGUCAAAAAGUGCAAAGUCCGAUUACUCUUGACAACAACAUGAGGCAACCUACUCUUUGUUGAUCCAAACUAGUAGCUUUGCUGGUAAUUAUUCAAAACUCACCCCUUCAGAUGAUGCUCUUGCAGUUGUGCUUGAAGUUGAUGGUCAGCCAAAAUUCCUGACGAACCCAAGGCUGAUAGCUUUUCCUUCAAAACAGAUGCUGAAGAUCCCCUGGCACUUUGCAGAACUGCAAAGAGCUGUUUCCUUCCUUCCCUUGUGUAUGCAGCCCUAUUUUUCAAAUUGUCGCCACCAGUCAUAUUUGCAAACAGCAGAGCUGCUAAAUUCAAUUUUGAGUGAACUUCUAAGGAUCUAAUACGUGGUAAAGGAUAAACUGCUUCUCCACCCUGCUGAGAUAAAAUUCGAGGGAUGUCAAUUGCUUCAAUCCCAGCAGAUUCAAAAAAAUUUGCUUGCAUUGGAGGUCUAUUAGGAUUAAGUAUCACACGUGUUUUCCAAACUUGAAGAGUUCCAUCCUUGGAAACUGUGACAAGCAACCGCAAAGUUGAGAGCCAAGAAAUUGAUGUGAUUGGUUGAGAACCCACUUGUGUAAUCCCAAUCAUAUUAGGUCUCUCAGUUGAGACAUCCCACGCCAGAAGUGUACCACGUCUAUCACCAACAAAAAUCCAUUCUAAUGUCGGAUGAAACGCAAAUGCACCAGCACCAAUAAGCUUAAUUGUAUUAUCAAGUUGUAGCGUGUAUGCAACAGCAUAAGUAUGAAUGUUGUAAGCUCGAAUCAAACCAUCUGCAUAAGCCACAUACAGGACAGGAAGGCGUGGAUGGCAAGCAAGAUUUACUAUAGGUUUCUUCAAGUCUGUCUUUAUUUUUGUUGGUGCCCUUCCCCCUUCAACAGUUCCAACAACAGUUACACUCAUCCUCCUAUGGAAACCGAAGAAAACAACAGGCUGGAGAGGAGUCAAAGCAAGAUGGACUUCUGCAUCAGUAGAAACUUGUUCCAUUCUCUUUUCAGGUGAAUGCAACACACAAGUUUGCUCAGUGUCAAAAUCACAAGACCGAAUUGUACAAUCCUCUAAGAUAGCAAUGACUGAAUGGCCACUAGUAGGGCCAUAAGCCAUGCGUACAACAGGUGCUCCAAUAUCAAUAGUAGAGAGCUUGCUUCCUGUUAAUGCAUCAAAUUCAAUUAUGUAUGUACCGAUCGCGGCGGCAAUGAGAGCUUGAGUUGGAUGAAAAGCAGCAGCAUGAGGCUGCAGUGGUUUAUUAACACCUUGACCUACAUGCCGUAGAUCCAGAUGCUGCACCGUCGCCCACUCCAUUUCUAUUUAACUUUCUGUUAAUUAGUGUCUAGAGAGGAAAUUCAUGAGGCUUCAGAGAGAGAAACGGGCUCUUUGAUGCGAAGUGCAGACAGAUCAAGACAAGGAAGAAACGAAGGAUCUGUAAGCUUGAGCUUUCGCAAAUGGUAGCAGUUGAAAGCAACGAAGAGAAGACCGGUAGCCAGAGAGGUUGGGCCG
rnacentral:misc_RNA from 1 species